CAACCAUCUGUAAUGGGAUCUGAUGUCCUCUUCUGGUGUGUCUGAAGUCAGCUACAGUGUACUUGUAUACAUGAAGAAAACAAGAAAAAGAAAGUGGUCAUUUGGCUCCUGGGCACUGUGGUCUCCCUGCCGUAUUGCAGUUCAUGUAGCGUAUGAGGAGCUCCUGGCUGAGGCUGUGGUCUAGCAUCUGCCCAGACUGGAGCCCACUUACGCUUUUCUUGGCAUCACAUUCCACACCUAACACCCAGAGCAGUGCAAGAGAGCAGAUGUUGGGUGAGGGCAUGGUGAGAGAUGUCCUAUUCACUGUGGUCCCUUUCUUCCAACAGGUCCUCAAGGGGAGCAGGGUAAGUCGUUAGACUCUGGAAGGGGCCAGGAGCUUGGGCCUGGAAGACUAUAGUCCUCAGGCAGCCUGGGCAGCAGGGAUGGGGACUGGAGUUUAUUUAUGAGCAUCCAUGCUAACACUAUCUCUAUUCAGGAGCGGAGGGAGCACCAGCAGCCCCUGUGCCUAGGGUAGCAUUUUCAGCUGCCCUGAGUUUGCCACGGUCAGAACCUGGCACAGUCCCCUUCGACAGAGUCUUGCUCAAUGAUGGAGGCUACUAUGACCCAGAGACAGGUGUAUUCACUGCACCACUGGCUGGACGCUAUUUGCUGAGCGCUGUACUUACUGGGCACCGGCAUGAGAAAGUGGAAGCAGUAUUGUCACGCUCCAACCUGGGCGUGGCCCGCAUAGACUCGGGAGGCUAUGAACCCGAGGGACUGGAGAAUAAGCCUGUGGCCGAAAGUCAGCCCAGCCCAGGCGCUCUGGGCGUCUUCAGCCUCAUUCUGCCACUGCAGGUCGGAGACACUGUCUGCAUCGACCUGGUC
rnacentral:lncRNA from 1 species